GCUAUGGCGUUUUUCACUCGAUCUCUGCAGGACCUGCCAGGGAUAACUGUGAACGACGUGAAUCGCAUCAUUCAUACCGCAUCCAAGACGCCUAUGUCAAAAAAGGACAAAGUCUUUAAAUUGUAUGUGUCCAGCUACAUACACAACUAUGAAGAUUGUCCUAAGGGAUUCAACUCCUGUGGAGUUACAGGAGUGCCAGUGUACCUGUGUGGCUGGUACAUCCUUGUGCAGCCAAGUGGCAGCUCUUCUUUUUCAAACUGCCCACUAUUCCCAGCUGAGGCUCACAUCAGUUCCCCCAGUGUUCAGCUGCACAGAGACUGAACAAAAGUGGCAUAAACCAAGGACUAUGGGUAUUAAACCUGGUCCAGUAAACAAGAUGGUUAUCCUGUCAGCCAGACUAAGAGAAAGAAGACUGGUAGAAGGAAUCAGGUUUGUGUUGCUAUCAAUACUACCCACCGACACUAAAAAAUUAAAAACUAAUAGUGACUAUUUUAGUAACACAGCACACCACAGCACACGGUGCACAGCGAAAUUUGACUGUUGGAGUAGUGAGUGGGUACAGUACCUUACUCAAGAGCACCUCAGUGGCAACUAGGUGGGAAAUCAAACUCACAACCGUCCAGUCAUGAGUCCCAUUCCUUGAAAUGAUAGGCCACCAAUGCCCCACAGUGACAUUUGGCAUGCACAACUACACAUGCAUAUGUGUGCACUCCGGUCCC